GAUUAACGCUGGCGGCGUGCAUAACACAUGCAAGUCGAACGAUGAAACUUAACUGAUUUCUUCGGAAUGAUUUUAAGUGGAUUAGUGGCGGACGGGUGAGUAACGCGUGAGUAACCUGCCUUGGAGAAGGGGAUAGCCUUUGGAAACGAAGAAUAAUACCCUAUGAUAUGAUAAUAUCUCAUGAUAUUGUCAUCAAAGAUUUAUCGCUCUAAGAUGGACUUGCGUCUGAUUAGUUAGUUGGUGAGGUAACAGCUCACCAAGGCAGCGAUCAGUAGCCGGCUUGAGAGAGUGUACGGCCACAUUGGGACUGAGACACGGCCCAGACUCCUACGGGAGGCAGCAGUGGGGAAUUUUGCACAAUGGGGGAAACCCUGAUGCAGCGACGCCGCGUGAUUUAGAAGGCCUUCGGGUUGUAAAAAUCUUUUGUAUGGGAAGAAAAUGACAGUACCAUACGAAUAAGGACCGGCUAAUUACGUG
rnacentral:rRNA from 1 species